rnacentral:lncRNA from 10 species
UCUUAUCCCUAGACUCUUCUGAUAUGUCCCCAGUGAGAAGGAAAAUCUGCUUUGUCAAUCCACACUUACUAUUGACUUAAUUAUCCAACAACAUUUUAAGUGCCUACUAUGGGCUUAAACAAGUGCUGAAUUAUAUUGUUGACCACUGUGUUCACUCCCACCUCUAGGAGAGCCCAAACUUGUUGGGAAAUAGUAAAGGCUAGGAGAGGCAGCAUUUUAAUUAGCUUCUGGCUAGAUUUUACAAACCUCAACAAAUUUAUGCUCUGCUCAGGGCUGCUGCUGAAUGCAAUGGCACUGGCUUACUCAAAAUAAUAAUAAUGGCCAGGCACGGUGUCUCACGCCUGUAAUCCCAGCACUUUGGGAUGCUGAGGCAGGUGGAUCACCUGAGGUCAGGAGUUCAAGACCAGUCUGACCAAUAUGGUGAAACCCCACCUCUAUUAAAAAUACAAAAAUUAGCUGGGCAUGGUGGCAUGCACUUUUAGUCCCAGUUACUCUGGAGGCUGAGACAGGAGAACUGCUUGCACCCAGGAGGCAGAGGUUGCAGUGAGCUGAGGUCGCACAACUGCACUCCAGCCCAGGCAACAGAGAUUCCGUCUCAAAAA